AGCGUUAUGUGGAUCGAACAUUAGUAGAGAAGCGUGUGAGCCAGCUGCCAAGAAAAGCCGCUAUUGCUUCAUAAGUACCCGUACCGUAAACCGACACAGGUGGAUGAGGAGAGAAUCCUAAGGCCGGCGGGAGAAGUGUUGUUAAGGAACUCGGCAAAAUGACUCCGUAACUUCGGGAGAAGGAGUGCCACAGAGAUGUGGCCGCAGAGAAAUGGCCCAAGCAACUGUUUAGCAAAAACACAGGUCUAUGCAAAACCGAAAGGUGAGGUAUAUGGGCUGACGCCUGCCCGGUGCUGGAAGGUUAAGAGGAGAGGUUAGAGCAAUCGAAGCUUUGAAUUUAAGCCCCAGUAAACGGCGGCCGUAACAAUAACGGUCCUAAGGUAGCGAAAUUCCUUGUCGGGUAAGUUCCGACCCGCACGAAAGGCGUAGUGAUUUGGGCACUGUCUCAACAACACACCCGGUGAAAUUGAAAUACCAGUGAAGAUGCUGGUUACCUGCGCCAGGACGGAAAGACCCCAUGGAGCUUUACUCCAGUUUGAUACUGGGAUUCGGCACUGUCUGUACAGGAUAGGUGGGAGGCUAGGAAAUGGUGACGCCAGUUGCCAUGGAGCCAACCUUGGGAUACCACCCUUACAGUACUGGGUUUCUAACCUGCAGCCGUAACCCGGCUGGGGGACAAUGUCUGACGGGGAGUUUGACUGGGGCGGUCGCCUCCGAAAGAGUAUCGGAGGCGCUCAAAGGUUCCCUCAGAACGGUUGGAAACCGUUCGAAGAGUGCAAAGGCAGAAGGGAGCUUGACUGCGACACCGACGGGUGGAGCAGAUACGAAAGUAGGACUUAGUGAUCCGGUGGUAUAAAGUGGGAUUGCCAUCGCUCAACGGAUAAAAGCUACCCUGGGAUAACAGGCUUAUCACUCCCAAGAGUUCACAUCGACGGAGUGGUUUGGCACCUCGAUGUCGGCUCAUCGCAUCCUGGAGCUGUAGCAGGUUCCAAGGGUUGGGCUGUUCGCCCAUUAAAGCGGUACGCGAGCUGGGUUCAGAACGUCGUGAGACAGUUCGGUCCCUAUCCGGCGUGGGCGUAGGAUAUUUGAGAGGAGCUGUCCUUAGUACGAGAGGACCGGGAUGGACAAACCUCUGGUGUAUCUGUUGUUUUACCAAAGGCAUGGCAGAGUAGCCAAGUUUGGCAGGGAUAAACGCUGAAGGCAUCUAAGCGUGAAGCCCCCUCAAGAUAAGAUAUCCCAUCUUCGGAGUAAGACCCCUUGAAGACUACAAGGUUGAUAGGCUUUGUGUGUAAGUGCGGUAACGCACUCAGCUGAGAAGUACUAAUAGGUCGAGGACUUAGC
rnacentral:rRNA from 1 species